rnacentral:rRNA from 1 species
ACAGCAGUCGCCGCGGUAAUACGUAGGGUGCAAGCGUUAAUUGGAAUUACUGGGCGUAAAGCGUGCGCAGGCGGUUAUAUAAGACAGAUGUGAAAUCCCCGGGCUCAACCUGGGAACUGCAUUUGUGACUGUAUAGCUAGAGUACGGCAGAGGGGGAUGGAAUUCCGCGUGUAGCAGUGAAAUGCGUAGAUAUGCGGAGGAACACCGAUGGCGAAGGCAAUCCCCUGGGCCUGUACUGACGCUCAUGCACGAAAGCGUGGGGAGCAAACAGGAUUAGAUACCCCGGUAGUCCCUGUCUCUUAUAC